GGAUUGUAGGUCAGUGGUAGAGUGCUUGCCUUGCAUGCAUGAGGCACUGGGUUCGAUCCUCAGCACCA
rnacentral:tRNA from 1 species